AUGGACAUGAAGACCCUCAUUCAGCUCCCGGGACUUCUGCCAUCCUGGUUUCCAGGGACCAGAAGUGACAUCCAGUCACCCAGUCUCCAUCCACACUGUCUGCAUCUGUAAGGAGACAGUGUCACCAUCACUUGCCGGGCGAGUCAGAGCAUUGGUAGUAAUUUAGACUGGUAUCAGCAGAAACCAGGGAAGGCCCCUAAGGGCCUGAUCUAUGCUGCAUCCAGUUUGCAAUCUGGGGCUCCUUCGCGGUUCGGUGGCAGUGGAUCUGGGACAGAUUUUACUCUCACCAUCAGAAUCCUGCAGCCUAAAGAUGUUGCAACUUAUUACUGUCAACAGUAUAAAAAUUACCCU